UCCUGGGUCUUAAUCAUCUCAUAUUGCAGAAAAGAAAAGAUGUCCCAGACCCAGAGAAAGAUGUCAGAGGCAGGAUUUAAAUUCUGAAUUUUUGAAUAAUCACUCCACCUUAUUUGUCUCUUAAUUGGACUGACUCUACCCAGGACUUGGGAAUUACAGAUUCUUUUUUGGCUCACCUUCAGUUUAUCGGUCAAUCUUUUUGACUAAUAAAACUUUGGGAAGAUUCUAUUGGCAGGGAGAAGAGGAAAAUAAAAGGGGAAUCCAGGGCUAUUUACCUGGGGAUGCUUCUUGAUCUAGCCUAUUAGCUGAGAACAAAGUCCAGAAAAGGAGGAAGAGAUGAAAAGAGGAUGGUGUGCCCUCCCCAUCUGUUUGUAAGUUAAAUAAGAAAACAUUAAAUGAUUGGUCAGCAGGAAGGCAGUUUUCAGAUAAGACAUGGGUUUGUAU